rnacentral:lncRNA from 1 species
AGGCUGACUUAUGACUUGUUUCAAUAAAAGGAAAUACAUGUCUCUUUUCACAGGUCUACUCCCUCCUCCUCUCUCCUCCCCCGAUUGAGCCAUGGCAGCCGUGACGUCACUCGUCAAACCAGUGCAUUGAGUUGAGGAUAGUGAACGGCGGAUAAACAGCUCCGGAGAUCCCACGAAGUUCUAGGGCCCUGGAGGUACAAACUGCUUUGCAUUUCCGACGCGUUUAGACCCGAACAAGGCUAUUCACAGAGGGUUGCCGUAUACGUGCACUCACCGUCCACCUGGCCCGAAUCAUCAGGAGUUAUACCAAGGUUGUCGAAUUCGUCAGAGGUCUUGGCCCACCCCAUACAGACAGGCCUGGCUCUGUGCUAGGUGAAGCUAACCAGUGUGCUCACACUCACAGUGAAAUUAGCCCCAGGCUCCGGCAGCGCUCACGCUGGCCCCACACUUCAGCUGGGUUUUUAACAGGUGCUCCGCAUGGGUUGAACUUGUGGCAGAUUGUGUCUGUGUCUGUGUCUGUGUCUGUGUCUGUGUCUGUGUCUGUGUCUGUGUGUGUGUGUGUGUACGUGUGUGUGUUUGCACUGGUUAAAUCCACCGAUCGGCACUCAGGGGCCACGUGGCUCCCUCCACAGACCACGCUUAGGCCCUGUAGCCAGAGGAGGGGCCCUCCACAUGAAAGUGGGGCCAGAGAAGGGGCCCUCCACAUGAAGGCGGAGCCUCGCUGAAUGGAGGGUUAAAUGUUUGGAGGGUGGAGGGAGUAAGUCGGGGCUGGUGGGCGUCAGGCCCACAGAAGUCAAAUGGGUCCGUGCGUCUCAUGCUGCAUGCAGGCUAACCCUUUCUGCCGUGUGCCUGCAGGCGGUUCCUUCUAUGCCACUACAUUUAGCUUUUUUGGCCUUGUAUAUGGGUUGCACUGACGCUACUGUGGUUUCCACUAGCAUUUUGUGCAAAGCCCAGGCAACAAUCUACCAGGUCUAUGGAAAAUUGUUUAAAUUUAAAAAAGAAUGUUAACUCUCCUUUGUCUUCAUAGUUAAUAGUAAACCGUUUAAAAUGUACAACCAGUGCAAUCAGCUUUUCGUAGACUUGCUUUAUACUUCAAAAGGAAAUGAUCUACUCAACUCCUGUUUUUGUUCUGUUCCACGUGCUUCUGAUUGAUCCCACAGUAAUUAGAUGCUCACUUAACUUGCUGAUCACGAAGAGCCUAUUUACACCUUACAUUAACAUGUAAUCUGUGUCUAAACGCCUUCUUCUCAUGCAUGCCUAGUUGCAAAGAGUAAACACACCCAGAACACAUUGUGACCCAAAUACAUUGAUGCUUCACACUGUGAUGGCAUGCGUCACAAUUGGGUAUAUUGUGUUUGUCAUGUACUGCCUAUUGUGCUUGGUGUAUUGUGCAAAUUGCAUGUUGUUCGAAAUUUUAUGAAAUCCGAUCACUGUGUAUGUAACAGGGAUCCGUACUAUAUAUGACGUGAGAGCAGAUUGUUAUACAGGCGUUCAUAUCCGUAAUUAGAUUGCAUAUCAUUGCACUGCACACAUUGGGCUGUGUUCGGUGCCAACAGGAGUGCGCUGGGGCAGAUGACACAUGUAGUGUGUGAGUGUUUGAGUGGGAGCCACUACUGUUCCUGGUAGCUUACGCAGUGCGCUCGCAGCGUGGGACUCGUCCCCGUGUGCUUUCUGCUCCGUCACACUGAGCUGAGUCCCCAGUCAUCAGCCUAAAGCACUGGCCUA